AGAAUGCUAAUCUUUGUCUCUCCAUGAUUCCCACAUAGCCUGGGUCCUGGAUAGGAUUUAGAUUCCACAGAUACUCUCACAGUGCCAUUUGGCUGUAGAAAAGAACUAAAUGUGAAGAAAAGCAGGAUAUAAAACAUUUAUUUGCUGGCAUGUAUAGAAAUAUAACUGGUGUCAUUCUGCUGUCAGCAUGUCAGAAGAUUUUAGACUUUUCUGCAGUGGUUAUGAAAGCUUUAACCAUGUUACAGGGGCAGACUGAUACUGGAGUUUGAAAGCUACUCUUGGAGACAUGGGCUGCCUACUAUUUUGGCCUUCCAACAAUUUUAUAAGAAACUCAAUAGAUAACGAUAAAUACCUUCAAGCUUAAAAUCGCGAUUAUGAUUUCUGCUGUGCGCAAUGAAACUCUGAGUGAAACAGUCCUCCAGGAUUUUGAAGUCCUCUGCAUCCGGGCAGUGGAACAGAAGUGUGGAGAAGAUUCAUCAUCUGCUUCUUAAAUGCCCUAGUCAGAAAGGGGUACUCAUCAUUUCUGUUCAUAUUUUAUACGGCUACAAAUAGAUGUGAGAAGAGCAAGAAAACAUAGUCCUGGCAAGGCAGUUGCCUUCUGAUGACAACUCUGCACUCUGGAGGUAGACAAAUUUUGGUCAAUAGCUGGCAGUUUUAGCCAUAUUAGUCCAGUACUCACCUUCACAAAUGAGGAAACUUAAGACUCGGCCAUUGUUGAUCUAACACAUACUUACUGUUUUUUAUUGUGUUUUCUUGAUCUAAUGGUAUUUUGAAACACAAUGGGUAGGACUAAAAUAUGGACCAUUUGAAAGGAGGAAAUGUUAGAUUAUUAUACUAGGCAAAUAAUGUUGCCAAUAUAUUUGCACAAUUAUGGGACAUAGACUUUCAUUUUCCUGUUUAAAAUAAGUAUGUAGUAUUAAAGAAUUAACAUAAAAUAUGGCAUUAUUAAGAAGAUCUAUGAUUUUGGUGCCUGGUCCUUAUUUAGGAGUUUAGCACCCUGGUUACAUAUAUCAUAAUAAUGAAAAAGCAUUAUUCUGUUUUAUGCUGCCUGCAGAAAAAAAAAGGAUGAAAAAUAGAUACUGUCUGUGCAGUAUGAGCCACAGUAUAAAUGUGCAGAAUAUGAUCUAAGUGGAGGAUAAUAAAAAUUUUGAAAGCAGUAUUUGCAAAACUUGUUCCAAACUUCCUCAUUAAUCAGCACAAAUAUUUUUCUAAGUAUACAUUGGAAGGCCUUUGCACUUAACUCAAUUAUUGAAGUAGUAGGAAAAUUAUGCUCUACUGUGUAUAAAAUAUUUCUAAGCUAUUCAAAGAAGACACUACAAAGAUAUUUAAAGAAGAUACUAUAAUAUAGAAAAACACUUCAUGCAGAUGUAUCAAUUAUUAGUAUCUCAUCACUGUAUGGCGUUCUUAACUAAGUUGAAAUUGUUUUCAAAUACUGGUUGAAUAAGUGAAGAAGGAAAAUUGUAUUGUGUUAACAGAAAUAUGUGUUCAUUCACCCACCCACUGAACACCUAUUUUGUGCCAGACGUUGUUCUGGACACUAGGGAUCCAGCAGGGAAUAAAAUACAUGAGUUUCCCACUUGCUUAUUUUUCCCUUACUUUACAAACCUGGAACUCUUUAAACAACAAACUGAAAAACACCACACAAAAUUAGGCAGCUAUCUUUGAAGAGUGAAUUUGCUUGGAAUUGCCUGCUUUGAGCAUCAUAAGUUUGAUGAGGUAUGAAGCAAAAAUACAGAUGUACAACAUUAAUUAAAAUAACCAGCAAUUCCACCAGAGGAUUCCAAAAGGGAUUUAAAGACUCACCCUGCCAGAACAGAGACGGAGCCAGAAAAGGGUGAUGAAGCAGAUUUACAAGACCGGCUCUCAGAAAAUUUGCUUGGACAUGCAGAACCAUGCUUUCAAGUACUAUUGUUACCAACGCGAAUCUGCAGCGAAAGUGAUCCUUGCCUCUCUGGAGGACAGAAUUUGGCUGAGGGGCAGAAGUAUGUUUAAGGCAGAGGGAGAGACUGAGGCAAGUUUUAGAGCAAAAGUGAGAGUUUAUUAAAAAGUUUUAGAGCCUGAGUGAAAGGAAGCAAAGCACACUUGGAAGAGGGUCAAGUGGGUUCCUUGAGAGAUCCAAGUGCCCCGUCCAACCUUUGGCUUGGGAUUUUAAUACAUUGGCUUGGUUCCGGGAUUUGAGUUUCUCCUCCCUUGAUUUCUCCCUUGCGGCAGGCUGUCCACAGGCACAGUGGCCCGCCAGCACUUGGGAAGGGGUGCAUACACAGUGUGUUUACUGAAGUUGUGUGCAUGCUCACUUGAGGUGUUUUUCCCCUCAUUAGACAAAAAUUCCCAGAGGAAGGUUAUAUACCAGUUAAACUUUGCCAUUUUGCCUCUUAGUGCAUGCUUGAGCCCACUAGCCCAAUCCCUGAGAUCUUAUCGGGAAGCUGCUGCUCCUCCACAGCUCCAGGAGUUUCCUAUUUAUUGGGAGACUGUCGGUCCCUAGUACCAGCUGUGACCAAUUAUAAUUUCAGAGACACAGUUUAACAACCACCUGACCAUUACCUGAUGGUCCCCUGAAGUUCUCUGGGGUUGGGAGAGGCUCUCCUGCCUGGCUCAUGUCUGCCUAACUACCUACUCUAACAUUAUGACUUGGAGAAAUACUUAUUGGGGACUUUUAAAAAACUGCAGAGUAUCAUAAGACUUUUGGCUAUGAGGAUUUACCAGUUGCAGAAUAAAGAAUUUUAAAAUAAUUUGUCUUUGAAGAUAUUACCUUCUGAUAUAUUGCAAGUAAGGUAUUGAGAAGUCAAUAGGGUUUGGUGCCAGGUUUCUGAUGGAGAAUUUGAAGAUACGUGUUUACAUUUCUAUAAAGUAAAUUUGACUGUCUGAGUCACAUAUAUCUUGGUCAUAAUUCACAAUUAUUAGGAAAUUUGAAAAUAAUUUUUUUAACAAAAGCAAAUUUGAGAAAGUCUAUUUUUAAAGUUGCUAAAAUAAGGGGCUCAGUAUAUUUUUAGUAAUUGGAAGACUGGUUGAUUGAGAAAUACAAAUUUUUCAGUAAAAAUGUAUUUUCUUUCCAAAUAAAAUAAAAAUUUAUGAAAUAUAAUUUCUAAAAAUUUGACAAUUAAGUAUAAAUAUUCUAACUGGGUAUUGGCUUAUAAUUAAUAAAUGUAAUUUAAAUAUG